GGUCUCAUGGUCUAGUGGUUAGGACAUUGGACUCUGAAUCUAGUAACCCGAGUUCUAAUCUUGGUGGGACCU
rnacentral:tRNA from 1 species